AAGUCGUAACAAGGUUUCCGUAGGUGAACCUGCGGAAGGAUCAUUAACACUAUUAAAAAUAUGAGCAAAUUGUGGGUGUUUUUAUUCUUUUCACGAAGAGUAAAAUGCUUCUUUUUGUUUCUUAUCCAAAUUACCCAAACUUUUUGAAAGUGCUUGUUGAUUUUUUUUUCUUGUUGGCAACAACGAGACGAAAAAUCACUUUUUUUAUUUUAUUUACAAAAAAAAACCCCAAAUCUUUUUUUGCUAAUGCAAAUGACAAUUACUAAAAACAAAAAUAACUACUUUAACGUAACCAAACAACUCUUAGCAACGGAUAUCUUGGCUCUCGCAUCGAUGAACGCAGC
rnacentral:misc_RNA from 1 species